rnacentral:rRNA from 1 species
GAUGAACGCUGGCGGCGUGCUUAACACAUGCAAGUCGAACGAAGCAUUUACGACAGAUUUCUUCGGAUUGAAGUUGUUUAUGACUGAGUGGCGGACGGGUGAGUAACGCGUGGGUAACCUGCCUUGUACUGGGGGAUAGCAGCUGGAAACGGCUGGUAAUACCGCAUAAGCGCACGGUGCUGCAUGGCACAGUGUGAAAAACUCCGGUGGUAUAAGAUGGACCCGCGUCUGAUUAGCUAGUUGGUGAGAUAACAGCCCACCAAGGCGACGAUCAGUAGCCGACCUGAGAGGGUGACCGGCCACAUUGGGACUGAGACACGGCCCAGACUCCUACGGGAGGCAGCAGUGGGGAAUAUUGCACAAUGGAGGAAACUCUGAUGCAGCGACGCCGCGUGAGUGAAGAAGUAAUUCGUUAUGUAGAGCUCUAUCAGCAGGGAAGAUAGUGACGGUACCUGACUAAGAAGCUCCGGCUAAAUACGUGCCAGCCGCCGCAGUAA